rnacentral:rRNA from 1 species
UAAGAGUUUKRWWUAUGGCUCAGAUUGAACGCUGGCGGCAGGCCUAACACAUGCAAGUCGAACGGUAACAGGAAGCAGCUUGCUGYUUCGCUGACGAGUGGCGGACGGGUGAGUAAUGUCUGGGAAACUGCSUGAUGGAGGGGGAUAACUACUGGAAACGGUAGCUAAUACCGCAUAACGUCGCAAGACCAAAGAGGGGGACCUUCGGGCCUCUUGCCAUCGGAUGUGCCCAGAUGGGAUUAGCUAGUAGGUGGGGUAACGGCUCACCWAGGCGACGAUCCCUAGCUGGUCUGAGAGGAUGACCASCCACACUGGAACUGAGACACGGUCCAGACUCCUACGGGAGGCAGCAGUGGGGAAUAUUGCACAAUGGGCGCAAGCCUGAUGCAGCCAUGCCGCGUGUAUGAAGAAGGCCUUCGGGUUGUAAAGUACUUUCAGCGGGGAGGAAGGGAGUAAAGUUAAUACCUUUGCUCAUUGACGUUACCCGCAGAAGAAGCACCGGCUAACUCCGUGCCAGCAGCCGCGGUAAUACGGAGGGUGCAAGCGUUAAUCGGAAUUACUGGGCGUAAAGCGCACGCAGGCGGUUUGUUAAGUCAGAUGUGAAAUCCCCGGGCUCAACCUGGGAACUGCAUCUGAUACUGGCAAGCUUGAGUCUCGUAGAGGGGGGUAGAAUUCCAGGUGUAGCGGUGAAAUGSGUAGAGAUCUGGAGGAAUACCGGUGGCGAAGGCGGCCCCCUGGACGAAGACUGACGCUCAGGUGCGAAAGCGUGGGGAGCAAMCAGGAUUAGAUACCCUGGUAGUCCACGCCGUAAACGAUGUCGACUUGGAGGUUGUGCCCUUGAGGCGUGGCUUCCGGAGCUAACGCGUUAAGUCGACCGCCYUGA